rnacentral:rRNA from 1 species
AAAGGAAUUGACGGGGACCCGCACAAGCGGUGGAUGAUGUGGUUUAAUUCGAUGCAACGCGAAAAACCUUACCCACCUUUGACAUGGCAGGAAUCCUUCAGAGACGAAGGAGUGCUCGCAAGAGAGCCUGCACACAGGUGCUGCAUGGCUGUCGUCAGCUCGUGUCGUGAGAUGUUGGGUUAAGUCCCGCAACGAGCGCAACCCUUGCCAUCAGUUGCUACGAAAGGGCACUCUGAUGGGACUGCCGGUGACAAACCGGAGGAAGGUGGGGAUGACGUCAAGUCCUCAUGGCCCUUAUAGGUGGGGCUACACACGUCAUACAAUGGCCGGUACAAAGGGCAGCGAAGCCGCGAGGUGAAGCCAAUCCCAUAAAGCCGGUCGUAGUCCGGAUUGCACUCUGCAACUCGAGUGCAUGAAGUCGGAAUCGCUAGUAAUCGUGGAUCAGCAUGUCACGGUGAAUACGUUCCCGGGUCUUGCACACACCGCCCGU